ACAGGCGGCUUGUUACUUUUCUUCGCAUUUACAAAUGGACUCCGGGGAUUAUUGCCAACUGCAGAAUUUUACCAGCCCACUCACACGCUGCGCUAGAAGAACAGAUACGCAAAACAAUCUGGAAAAAGUUGUAUUGAUUCAACUCAUGUUGUUGUUUUUUUUUAUAAAGAUCUAGCUAGCAUUGGUACAACUUUUAUGCUGUCGAAAUAAUAUGUCCCCGUAGCUUUGCUAAAGCUGUGAACUGAGUAACAAAAAUGCUAAAUAAGCUCAUGAAGAAAACUGGAAAAUACACUUUCCUUGUGUUUUUUUUUUUUUUUUCAAAAUAGACAGGCAAUUUUGAACUGCAGAAGAUGGUGGUUUUUAGGCUGGCACAAGACAUCACAUUCACCACAACGUAUUCUGGUAGACUGCCAUACAACAUCCAACAAUUCUCUUAAAUAAGGCCAUGGAUGAGGAAUAGCUUGCUUCUCUGAAUCUAUUGCCUUGGUCGUUAAUAUUCCCUGCACCAUGUUUCAUGCGUCGCUGCUGUCCCCGUUUUUUCCGUCUCUUAAAACCCGAAGAUCGUAGUCAAUCUAGAUCCCAACCAUGUUAACUUUACUUCUGUAUAUUUACUUCGUUUUUACCUCUUGUCAUUAUCCGCAGAGGAUGAGAAAAGUGACAAACCUACCUUGACAAACUCAACUGCGCAAGCUGUCGAGAGUCAGGAAUCAUGGCACCAGCUGAAGAACCUUUCAGCUCAAAUGUCAACCUUCUGGGAGAAGAGUGGGAAGAGAUGAUGGACAGCGAGGAACAUUUAUAUAAAAACCAUUCAAGAAGGGCCAAUGCCCAAGCGAAUGACGCAUGAAAACCAUGCAUGCAUCAUCGGCAGGGGCACCAGAGUCUGGGCCCCCAUACAGCACCUUCUUUGACUGAUUUAUUGUAUUCCUGCAUUCAGGAAGGCCUGCCAGUGAGCAUGGAUGGCACAUGAACCGUUUUUUUCAAAAGUGGCUUUGACAUAUUUGUAAAUGCUGUACUUGCUCAUCUUAAAUGGCCAAAUAAACAGCAGCACUUGCUUAUUGUGGCAUUUUGCGACAAGCAGAUAAAAACAACUGUACUCGCGAACCUGUACUGUACAGUACAUUGCACACAUGCAAUGUGUUGACACGUGUAAAACUAACAUGAUUUCUGAGCGAUCACUUCGCCCUCCACCCCUACCUUUUCCAAAUGCCAGGAGCAAUAGCAGCAUGCAUAAAUUGUACACAUGCACAGACAAUGAUACUCAUGUAACUACAGAAAAAAACAGAAUUUCCUCUUUCAUUUCUUGAAUCGAACAGCUUGUCGGAAGAGACUCAGUGAAAAGGCCAACGUUAAGUUUGCAAAGAAUAUUGAUAGAAUCAGCAAUACUGUAUAGCAGGAUAAUUUCAGCGCUGGUCUUUCGCAUCAACACACAGGUCAGAUGAAACAAAAUCUCAAAUCACACAAAAUAAAACUCUUGGUAGCUGUUGCCGUGCCCC